UCUCUCUUGCUUCCAGUCGGUGGUGAAAACCGGCCGUUUGCUCAUCAGUCACGAAGCACCGGUUACAGGAGGGUUUGCUGCUGAAAUCAGCUCUACUGUACAGGAGGAAUGCUUCCUUAACCUGGAGGCCCCUAUCGCUAGAGUCUGCGGUUACGACACCCCCUUCCCUCACAUCUUUGAGCCCUUCUACAUCCCAGAUAAGUGGAAGUGCUUUGAGGCAAUCAAGAGGAUGAUCAACUACUGAAUCCCCUGUAAUGGCCAACUUCUGGUGGACCUGAACUCCAAACUCUCCAUCCAUCCAACCAGGAAAGAGCAGCCAGAAAAACGCUUUGUUGACCAUCCAAUAAAAACACACUAUCCAGAUGGCCUUCAUGUUCUCCUAUCCUCAGUUCAAAAGUCUGUUACCUUAUGUCCACACUGCAGAACCUUGCUGUUUUUGCAGAGGAGAGAGCCGAUCAACGGAAUCAGCAGUGAAAUGUAGGCUUUAGUUCUUAUAUAGUGUUGAAUUUAACAGCAGGGGAAACACGUUUGUUUUGAUACGUGACUGCCUUGUUUUGUGUGCUGUUACCCGCUAACCUUACCAACUAUUCUCUGAUCUGUUUAGUUUCAAAUGACAUGAAGUGUAUCCAUAAAUAUGGUGUGAUUUUUAAUCAAAAUAAACUUAGACAUUUGUUCACAACAUUCAUUGGUUGAGUUUUAAUGCGUGGCUCGUUUGGUAUCUUUAAACCUACAAAAAAAAUAGACUUACUCAGUCACAAAGCAUUCCAUG